rnacentral:lncRNA from 1 species
CUCGGCCUCGCGUGGGUUCCGGUGGCGAGCAAUGUGCUGCCGGAGUGGUUCCGAACUUUCGAUGCUCGAAGGGAUGGGGGCGGAGGCAGGGGACAAAAAUUCUUUUUUUUUUUUCGUUUUGAGGCUUUGAGCGAGCGUGCCGCGCUUUUUUGGGCGAAAAAUUCAGCGGCGGCGUUUAAUUUGCGAAUAAUUACCUUAAACCCAAAAUGUCACGCCCCGAGCCCGCCUAUUUGGCCGGUUUCGGGCACGCCGACAGACCGCCGAACGGACAGGGUUUCCCCGGUACCGCGGACAGAGUCUCCCCUGUACAUUCAAGGCGUCGCAAUCAAUACAAUGUACAAAGUUCCAACCAGGAACACAUUUCAAUCAAAGAUUGCAUAAGGAAGUAUCAAAAACAUAAUCUACUUGUUAUUACAAGCAUUCACAUUCAUACAUUUUACAUCCCAAAUACUUAUUACAUUCAACUUCCAAAUACAAUCCGAUUUAACAUGAUUAUUACAACUUGAUUCUUUUCAUUUUCUACAACCCUAAGCAAAGCCGACUCAGGGUACCGCUAUCUCUGGUCUCGGUGGUAGGGCGCUAACUAUGAUGCUACGCCCUCGCCUCGCGCCGCCGCGCCGCUCACGUGUGAACCUGUAACACCCCAAAACCACGUGGGGUGAGAACCAACUCCAUGGUUCCCAGUGGGUACGGCCACCCAAGGGAAAAGCUCGACCAAUAGGUCCAAGGGAGGCAACUGCAAGUUAGUUCAAUAAACAGAUAGAUAUAUAUCUUGAUUAUGCAACGAAUAAAACCAUGCAUUGCCUCACGAAUGCAAUAUGAAGAUCAUGCAAUGAUGCGACUAUACAAUCAACUAGUAAUUCAAUCGAUUACUACUUUCAUCCAAUUGACAUUUAAGGUUUUCUGUCAUUUACCAUUUUAAUCAUAAAGUUUCAUCUAUCUUUACAAAGCUAACCGCCCGACUCGGUCUUGAGUCAAUCGUCUGCGGAGUACCGCACAAAGCCAGGCCCGAGGCGAAGGACGUCUCACUUGCACCUCGGCCUUAAAUCCCCUCAACUAGGACAUCACUAUAGCUCAUAAGUUUAUUACCCAAUCACUUGGCUAACCCGAAGGUUUCGCCCUCAACAAACUCACCAACCCAAAAUCCCAUUAACCGGGGAGAUACCCGCUACAACCCGGUGGGACCGUCCUCUGGGGAGAUACCCGCUACAACCCAGUGAUGUCGACUCCGGAGCACAUCGCCCGAGGGGGAGCUACCACAACCUCGAGCAAGGACUAAAGGUGAGUAUGAUCAAUGAUCAAAUCCAAAAUCUUGAGGAUGUCAAGUUCAAUCCAUUCCUUAACUUUAGGAAGACUAUGCUCAAAUGACCCUAACUCUAGGGUUGAAAUGUCAUAAUAUUUCCAUCAUUCUUUUCUUUGCAUUCUUUACUAUCACUUGUGUCAUAUACACUACUAUAUUCUUGGACUCAUGCCACACUUGUUUUCUAAGUGUUCAACAUACCAUAAGUGUUUCCACUAUACUAAUCAUAUGCCACUCGAUCUAAUAUAUAUAGAUUGUCCACGUCACAUAUCAUAGUUCAUAUGUCAUUGUUUUUCAAUGUCGAGUUCUCUAAUUCACCUAGAGUUUAUCGACCCAAGUUCAACAUGCAUGUGUCAUUUAACAUAAUCCACAAUAUGUCAAUAUACAUUCAUCUAGUAUAUUCUACAAUAAAUCAACAUGCACUCAUUCAUCAUAUUCCACAAUAUGUCUACAUAUAUAUGCCAACCAUUCAUAUGCCAUCCAACAUGUUCCAUAAUUUAUCAACAUGCAUAUUACCUCUAACAUAUUACUAUAACAUUAUUUUCAUGCAUUCAUGUAACAAUUAACUCAUGCAUUCAUUUAGCAUUAUUUAACUUGCAUCUUAUCAUUACGCAUUUCUACUUGGCAUUUACAUUAACAUGCAUCAUUUUCAUACUUCAUUUACAUCUAUAUGCAUCAACAUGGAUUCUUAAUUUGCUUAGACAUAAAGGCGACCUAGUCGCUUCGGUAAGCACAACCCACCUUAACUCGCGUUCCGAUUGCUUGUAGUCACUUGCAAUCGGCCUCCCGCAGCACCCGGCACCCGGUUUGGCCCGAUCUCUCGCGCGACCACCCGAACGGCCUCUAAUCCACGAUCCGAAAAUUAAGGGUCUUCGGUUAUGUGCCACGAUACUUCAAAUCUAUUUCCACGAUUUUACGACGUCGCCUCGGCCCUCCCGGCGGACCCGAAGCCUAAACGUCCAUUUCUUUAAUAACUUUGUAACGGCUCGUCGGAUUGCCGAACCGUCUUCGCCAACGCGUUCGUUUACCUAGCAAUUUGGUUUACGGAGCGUCAAAUGAGAUCAAACCCAUAUAUUUUACAAAACCCCAUUCGGAGCCCUAACAUGCAAUUAACCUCUACAUAGUCCAAAUUAAAUAGAGAGAGCAUGUUUAGAAUGCUCAUUAGAGGCUAUUAGAACACUUAGAACUAAGGAUUAAGCCAAAUUCUAAAAGCUUACCUCAAUGUGAACGCCGCGACGAAAACACGCCGCUCCAACGGGCGCACGAAAGCUCAAUCCGUCGCCUUCAACGCGUUCGCAAGCAUUUUCUCCACCAACCCCGCGAAUUUGAGCGAGAGAUAUAGAGAGAUGAGAGAGAAAUCUAGAGAGAGAAAGGGAGUCUCCCUACCAUGUAUGCGGGUUGGUGGUGGCGUGUAUGGUGGUCGGCUGAAGGAGAAGAAGCAAAAGCUUCUUUAUACAUUACACCCCAAAACACUAUUCACUCCAGGACAGUUUAGCAGUUCGGAGCAGUUGGAGCCCUUUUGGAUGUCCGUUUGGGCUCAAAUUUGACAGGCAGGCUCGGUUUAACGUACUGAGUAAGAAUAUAUCUUAAGUUUUCAGUUUCGAUCUCGUUUGGUCACUGAAAACUAUACCGAACUGUAAUCUUUAUCAGAUAGCCGUCGGAUUUUAUUUCUCACUCUACGGGUGUCAGAAAAAUAUGAAACUUCAAAUCUAGCCUCAUAAAAAUAUUUCUGACUUAUUCUCCAAUUUUCAUAAUUUUCUGAGACUGUGCAUUUUCUGCUAAUUUAUCUGUCCCGUUUCCAACAGAAAAUUCUAAAUCUUCUGUUUUCAUUCCGAUUUCAGCACAAGUCACUUCUGACUUAUGUUUUACUUCUACAAAUCCAAUAAAAAUAGUUUCUCACACUAUUUUUAUUUAUUUUUAUUUUUACACCAAAAUCUGGUAUGUUACAUUCUCCACCUCUUAAAAGAAUUUCGUCCGCGAAAUUCAAACCAUGCCUCAAUUCAGCUCCACGAGCAAUUGAGGGUACUAACUCAUUCUCCCACUCCAGAGCGGCUUCACACUAUUGUGGUUCCAGAAGCGGCUCAUACUGAAGGACGUGGGUUUAAUCCUAAACACAUUUGCAAAAUGUGAUAUAAAAGUGCAUCGCGAGUCUUGCAAGUCAUAAAGGCAGUGCAAAUCGAUACUCGAUGACUCUACGCGCUCCAACACCACUCACCAUUCGGUAUACAAAGAACUCUUCUUUGCACUUACCUUCCCUUCAGGGAAUAUAUUCUAAUUCGAUCACCGACAUUGCUUAGAAGCAAUAUCACCGAUGCAUCGCUCCGUCGUGAGUGCUCUAAUUUCGCACUGACCCUUAACUUUAACGUGAGAUGGCCCACUUCGGCACAUCUCAAGUCUCAGUUCGCUUACGAGCAUAGUUUCCAACAUCACGUGGCUUUCCACUAGAUUGAUGUCUCACAAGGAGUACUUCAUCAUCUGAUACCACAUGCCACGGUCAAUCAUCGAACUAUUUCCGCAACGAGCUCACACGAGCGCUUCGUUCGUGAAUUCGAGUCAAACCCCUCGAUAAGGCUAUCCGCCAAAUCGCCCUCUUCGGUCUCCACAGGUGGACCAAAGGCCACCAAUCCUACGUGGGCCUACCGCCUAAACCUGUCUCAAUACGCAACGUCUCUCGCUCGCAAACGCAGACCCAAUCAUGAUCGGGCGAAACUCUCACUUGGGAAUUCGCACACACUCCAACCAGGAGCAACUAAGAUCCCAAACCGUUACAAAUUCCCUGGUUGGGUCACACUCGUACUCUCGGUGUACUAUCAAUCGCACGACACGCUCUACCGAGCCACACGUACUACUACCGGCUACUAUGCAUCUAAUGCGAGUCACCUGUCCCACGAGUGAUCCAUGGCAUGCUUCACACCUAGCAAUGCUCAAGUGCUACUGCCAACUCACUCACCCGACUGAACCAUAUCCGCACUCCACGAGUAUCUAUACUUGAACGUCAUACGCCUCCAUAGCGUUGCACACUAAGUCCAGUGUUAGGCAAUCCUGCCUAUGCAUACCGGCCGCACGAGUACAACCGCCUACCUCACCUUGAGGUACUACUAGGCCCACGUGCUCAAACUUGGCCACUAAUCGACCGUUCUCUCAACAGUGAUGCUACUUUCACUGUUUGAUCUACCGGAAUGACAUCCAAAAUUUUCGGACCACUCGGGUGUUAUCAAAUACCACGGCUCAACUCUCGUAAUCUACUAAUUAAGUUGCUCUGAGAGUCGAUUAGCCACCUCUGUCUCUAUCGCGAGUUUCACUACUCGCCAAAGGUCACUACUAGCACUUCGCUAGUGCCAUCUGGCUCUAUACCUAUACUAGCAGGUACUACGCCCUCACAACACGAGCAUGCCCGGGUAUCGAUACUUACCCGUCCACUCGGUCUCUACUAUGGUCAUGCACGACAAUAGUAAUUAACCACAUAAUCAUUGCAUACAAUGCAUGGACUUCACGUCAUGCGAAACAUAUGCUUGCAUCAAUAACCCAUACCUGCAACGAAGUCGGCAACAGCAAGGUCCUCAACCUGGGUCGCAUAUCUAUGACCACCCGGCGCUUGCCGCGAACCCUAAGGUGACAUUGUCUUUAAUGCCCCCUCUUCCGACCGGGCCGCAGGUGCCACACCUGUAGGCCGUCCCAGAGAGAAAUAGGUUGUCGCCAGUGUUAGGCCCCGGCUGUCACCUUGCAGACACUCGUCCCGCGCACAGCCCGGUUGCCCACACCUGUAGCACUUGCCCUCUCACAGCUCGCAAUACUGUGGGUAACGAAAACACCCACAAACGACACAUCUCACUAAGGACCGAACACAGUAGGUCCCCGGAACACGGAAUCACGAGCGCGAACUUAUUGCACUCACUUGAGAACUUGACGGACCAUCGAAUCCACUCGUUGGCCGUUCUAUUUCCCUUUUCCUUGCAAUUGGACUCACGCUCCCCUCGCACAAUUGCACUGCCUUGUUCUAUCCCCAAGGCCUAAUCCUCAAAGCUCCUCUAAUCCUUCUCUUUAGAAAAACUCAUGUGGAGUGAGAGAAGAAGGAACAUGGAGUUGAAGGGGUACCUCCUUGCUGUGAACAAGGAAAGAAGAGGUGUGGGGUUUAUACAAGCCGCCACAACUGCACUUAAACCCCCCAACGUUUCUUGUUUGCAGCAGAUCUCAACCUGCUGUCAGACCCAUUGUGUACCGAUACACGGGCUUUUGUACCGGUACAAAGCUGUGCAGAGGCAAACCCGAGAGCAACCUCCUCGGAUUUUACCAAAGGGUACCGGUACAAAUCAGGGGUGUACCGGUACACUUCUGCGAAAACUCAAACCCGAGAGCAAUGCUCUUCUCGGGCCACUUGCUGUACCGGUACAACCAUCAACAUGUACCGGUACACUUUCCUCCAGAACGUAGUUUUAGCUUGUUUUCGACUCCAACUAGCACCGAUAGAUGCUAAAACCAUUCUAACUCUUUUAGAGCCCAAUUCUUAUCCUUCCAACAUCGUCGGAAUGUCAAUUGGACUUUAUCCAACUAUUGCUCUCAACGCACUUUGGUCAAUUUUACUAAAGUUUGAUGUUUAUUUACCGAAAUUUCAGUACGUUACAUUCUCCCCUCCUAAAAGGAGUUUCGUUCUCAUUAUCCCGCUCUAUGUCCGGGAUGCAAUUCACGACACGGGAGAAUUCCUACUCGUAUUCCCUCACGGCGCGGUCUACCUGCCGCAGCUUCGAGAACCUUUCCUGAAGCUUUCUUUUCCAUCAUCAGGGGAGUAAACAGAGAAUACCGAUCCCCGAAACUCGUCCCAAACCACAGGAGGGAGACCAGGCAGUCGAUCCCACUCAACGCCUGUCCACCACACCUUCGUCGCGACUCCCGGCUGUACUUAACGAGCCGGAACUGGUGUGAUCACUACUAAUCCCCCAACUCUUGGAGUCUCUUAACUCGCUCCUCCCGGCAUAUGGCAGCCUUCUGCUGACACUGCACUAAUUCGGCUCAUUACCCCGCCACACACACGAGAGUGGCAAAUCGCUCGCAAAGUCUCAAGUCUCCGCUCGUCUCAAAUUGCCCAGGGACACCACUUGGCCCAACCCGCGCCGAUCUAAACAAAGAUCGCCUACGCAGUGCUGUCGUUUCCUAAAACGCGACAACUCUAUUAAUCCUCGACCUUCUAGGUCGAACACGAGACACUUAUUACCGACUCAAAUCGAGCGAAAGUCACGCAAGGGCGUCUAUUCUCAUCACACGGUUUCAUGUUGUGCGCGCCCAACACGAACACCAUCGGUUGAGAAUAAACCACACUUUAAAUCUACCUCUAAUAUCCGUUUCAGAGGUUUACGACACAACGCAAUCAAUUAACCUUUCGCCAAAAGUCACAAGUCUUCGUCUCUCACGAACCUUAAUCUCCUAUGGUUUACUAUCCUAGGGUCUUCUAGGUCCAACUAAACCAUUUUCUAUUAUUCUUUUUAUGUUCUUUUUAUGCUCUGAUACCAUCUUAUUUGUCACGCCCCGAGCCCGCCUAUUUGGCCGGUUUCGGGCACGCCGACAGACCGCCGAACGGACAGGGUUUCCCCGGUACCGCGGACAGAGUCUCCCCUGUACAUUCAAGGCGUCGCAAUCAAUACAAUGUACAAAGUUCCAACCAGGAACACAUUUCAAUCAAGGAUUGCAUAAGAAAGUAUCAAAAACAUAAUCUACUUGCUAUUACAAGCAUUCACAUUCACUAGAUACAUUUUACAUCACAAUUACUUAUUACAUUUAACUUUCAAAUACAAUCUAGCUUUUAUUACGAAUUAUUACAACUUGAUUCUUUUCAUUUUCUUACAUCCCUAAGUAAAGGCCGACUCAGGGUACCGCUAUCUCUGGUCUCAGUGGUAGGGCGCUAACUAUGAAGAUACGCCCUCGCCUCGCGCCGCCGCGCCGCUCACGUGUGAACUUGUAAUACCCCAAAACCACGUGGGGUGAGAACCAACUCCAUGGUUCCCAGUGGGUACGGCNNNNNNNNNNNNNNNNNNNNNNNNNNNNNNNNNNNNNNNNNNNNNNNNNNNNNNNNNNNNNNNNNNNNNNNNNNNNNNNNNNNNNNNNNNNNNNNNNNNNNNNNNNNNNNNNNNNNNNNNNNNNNNNNNNNNNNNNNNNNNNNNNNNNNNNNNNNNNNNNNNNNNNNNNNNNNNNNNNNNNNNNNNNNNNNNNNNNNNNNNNNNNNNNNNNNNNNNNNNNNNNNNNNNNNNNNNNNNNNNNNNNNNNNNNNNNNNNNNNNNNNNNNNNNNNNNNNNNNNNNNNNNNNNNNNNNNNNNNNNNNNNNNNNNNNNNNNNNNNNNNNNNNNNNNNNNNNNNNNNNNNNNNNNNNNNNNNNNNNNNNNNNNNNNNNNNNNNNNNNNNNNNNNNNNNNNNNNNNNNNNNNNNNNNNNNNNNNNNNNNNNNNNNNNNNNNNNNNNNNNNNNNNNNNNNNNNNNNNNNNNNNNNNNNNNNNNNNNNNNNNNNNNNNNNNNNNNNNNNNNNNNNNNNNNNNNNNNNNNNNNNNNNNNNNNNNNNNNNNNNNNNNNNNNNNNNNNNNNNNNNNNNNNNNNNNNNNNNNNNNNNNNNNNNNNNNNNNNNNNNNNNNNNNNNNNNNNNNNNNNNNNNNNNNNNNNNNNNNNNNNNNNNNNNNNNNNNNNNNNNNNNNNNNNNNNNNNNNNNNNNNNNNNNNNNNNNNNNNNNNNNNNNNNNNNNNNNNNNNNNNNNNNNNNNNNNNNNNNNNNNNNNNNNNNNNNNNNNNNNNNNNNNNNNNNNNNNNNNNNNNNNNNNNNNNNNNNNNNNNNNNNNNNNNNNNNNNGAGUUUGAUCGGGAUGUGCAAUUACUAACUUUGCAGAGGGUCACGUUGGCGGCCGACAACGUGACAUCGGAAGUUAGUACGCGUUACAUUUCAUUACUUUCACUUGAAUAGCUGGUUUAUAUCCUCAAUGAGGGUUCAGUAGUAUAGGGUUUAUUGACCUAUGUUCGUUUUUGUGCUGCAGCUUAAGAUGCCGUUGACUCGUUCGCAAGCCGCCGGGGCAGCUGAGGCGGCGGAUGCAGAGGAAGUGGGGACUUCUGCUACUUCAGGAUCUAGUGGGAUCCAUGAGUUGCAGGAUCAGCUCGCGAAGCUGACAAAUUUGGUUGCUCAGCAGGCUGCGGCCGCGCGACAGCAGAUGGAUGUAGCGCGUCGGCAGGAGGACAGGAUGAAGAGGUUAGAGGAUUUAUUACUGCGACAGACGACUGACAGGGGGAUUCCGGAUCCUAUACCUACAGUACCGGGCAGGGAUGCGACAGUGAGAGCACAGUCACCUGUACUUGACACAACCCCAGUAGCUCCGAGGGCAGAGAUCCAACGGGAGACAGUAGUACCACCACCAGUACCUGUAGCAGCAUCAGGGACAGUGUUACCCGAGAUGGUGGGGGUUGAGGAGCGAGAGCGGAUGAUGGAACAACUGAAUGAAUUCCGUCGCUGCAACCCUCGUGUCUUUGAUGGGGAGAAAGCAGAUCACUGGGUGGUCGAGAAAUAGCUGAUGCACAUGGAGAAGCUAUUCUAUGAUACAUUCGUCGAGGAGCGACAUUGAGUUUGGUUUGCGACGCACCACCUUGACGGCGAGGCUUACAGGUGGUGGGUGGACAUUCGUGAGGAUCCCCGUAUUGAUUUGCCCGCUAUUACGUGGAACAAGUUCAAGGAAUUAUUGUUGACUACUUACUUUCCUCAGAGUGUAAAAAGACAGAUGGAAAGGGAUCUGAGAAACUUGAGGCAGGGGGACAGGACAGUGGCAGAGUAUGAGCGAGAGUUCUCCCGAUUACUGCACUGUGUUCCUUUUGUAGUUCGAGAUGAUGAGGACAAGGCUCGCAUAUUUGAGGUAGGUUUGCGACCUGCGAUUUUCAGGUUGGUCCAGGCGUCAAACCUCUCCACUUACCGGGAUGUAGUGAACCGGGCCUUGAUCGUUGAGAAAGGGGCGGAGAUUAUGAAAGAAAGAGACGUUGUGGAUAGAAGCAAAGGAAAGAGAACAGCAGUUGAAAGCAGUGGUCAGCAAUCCUUCAGAAAGCCACCAAAGUAUCCGAGGGGCCAGUCAGGUCAGUCGAGGGGUCGAAGUUCUUCAGCACCCUGUGGAGCACCCGAGCGUCGUCGACCACCGCGUUGUGUUAUCUGUGGUGGGCCUCACGUACCGCCACAGUGUCCACAGCGUGGGGGUAGGUGUUUUCUUUGCGGCCAGGAGGGCCACUUUCGUUCAGAGUGCCCGAGAGGUUCUUUUCCUGUACCCUCGUCAACGAUUGCACCUGUAUCUUCAGCUCCGAGCCAGGGGACCCCGACAGCGCCCUAUCAGUCUAGGCGACCACCAGGACAGCGGCAGUCAGAGAGUUCGCAGCAGGGUUCGAGUGGGCGGAUGUAUGCCGCCCAGACCGAGGGCGCCGCAGCAGCACAGGAGGUCGUAGCAGGUAUCAUUAUGCUUUAUGAUAUUCGUGUUCGUGCAUUAUUUGAUACUGGUGCCUCACAUUCUUUUAUUGAUCGGCAGUUCGCCGAGUUGCAUAGCAUUCCUUUAGCACCUACUAUGCAUCUGGGAUGAGUGAUUGUACCUGACCAUACCCUAGAUGUUCGUGAGUUUUGCCCUUGCUGCCCAGUUAGGGUAGGCGACUGGAUUAUGCCAGUGGAUUUAUUGGCACUACACAAACUAGGUGAGUUUGAUGUAGUAUUGGGUAUGGAUUGGUUGACACAGUAUUAUGCCACCAUAGAUUGCACGAACAGAACGGUGACCUUUAGGGAACCGGGUCAACAGGAGUUUGUUUAUAAGGGGUGUCAGAGUUCAUUGUUCGCAAUGACCAUUAGCUCUUCGCGAGCACGACAGUUGAUACGGAGAGGAUGUGUAGCCUAUUUGGCUAGCAUUUCUGUGAAUAGCGGAGAAGCCAUCAAGAUUGAUGAUAUUCCUGUUGUGCGGGAGUUCGGGGAUGUGUUUCCAGCUGAAUUGCCGGGCAUGCCACCUGAUAGGGAGGUUGAGUUUGUGAUAGAUCUUGUCCCUGGGACUACCCCUAUUUCUAAAGCGCCUUAUAGGAUGGCACCCGCUGAAUUGAAAGAGCUGAAGGCACAGUUACAAGAUCUUUUAGAUAAAGGAUUUAUUCGACCGAGUGUAUCGCCCUGGGGAGCACCGGUGUUAUUUGUCAAGAAAAAGGAUGGAUCUCUUCGAUUGUGCGUGGAUUAUCGAGAAAUCAACAAAGUCACAAUCAAGAAUAAAUAUCCAUUGCCCAGAAUUGAUGACUUAUUCGAUCAGCUGCAAGGAUCGAAAGUAUACUCCAAGAUUGAUUUGCAAUCUGGUUAUCAUCAGCUUAAGAUCAAGCCUGAAGAUGUUUCUAAGACCGCUUUUAGAACACGGUAUGGGCAUUAUGAAUUUACAGUUAUGCCAUUUGGACUGACUAAUGCCCCAGCAGCGUUUAUGGAUUUAAUGAACCGUGUCUUUAAGCCCUUUUUGGACAGGUUUGUGGUCGUGUUUAUUGACGACAUCUUGAUCUAUUCUCGAAGUGAUGCGGAGCAUGAAAAUCAUUUGAGAAUAGUGUUGCAAGUACUUCGAGAAAAGAAACUGUUUGCAAAGCUCAAGAAAUGCGAAUUUUGGCUUCGAGAAGUGGCAUUUCUGGGCCAUGUGAUUUCAGAAACUGGGAUAGCUGUGGAUCCAAAGAAGAUUGAAGCGAUUAAAGAUUGGCCUAGGCCGACCAGUGUCACAGAAAUUCGGAGUUUCCUUGGUUUGGCGGGAUACUACCGAAGAUUUGUAGAAUGAUUUGCAAAGAUGUCUACUCCUCUCACUCGACUCACACAUAAAGGAGCUAAGUUUCUGUGGAACGAAACCUGUGAAAGAAGCUUUCAAGAGCUAAAGGAACGGUCGACUACCGCCUCGAUUCUAGCACUGCCUGUUACUGGAGUGGAUUAUGUGAUUUACAGCGAUGCGUCACUGAAUGGAUUAGGGUGUGUUCUAAUGCAGAAUGGCAGAGUAAUUGCUUAUGCUUCUCGCCAAUUAAAGGAUUAUGAAAAGAACUACCCUACACAUGAUCUUGAGUUAGCAGCUGUGGUAUUUGCUUUAAAGCUUUGGCGCCACUACCUCUACGGCUUGCGUUGCGAAGUUUAUACAGAUCAUAAAAGCUUAAAGUAUCUGUUUACACAGAAGGAAUUAAACUUGAGGCAACGUAGAUGGUUGGAGUUACUCAAGGAUUAUGAUUUGACCAUCCUCUAUCAUCCUGGAAAAGCUAAUGUCGUAGCAGAUGCUUUAAGUCGAAAAUCGACGGAAAAUUUGGCGAUGUCGAUAACAAUGCAACCACUGUUGGUAAAGGAAAUGGAGCAAUUGAAUUUGGAAGUGGUAGCUCCUGAUACACCUUGGAGACUUAUGUCAUUAGUGAUGCAACCUACCUUGAUCAAUCGAAUUAAGGAAAAGCAAACUCAAGAUGAAUUCCUGCAGACGAUUCGGGAUAAGAUCACUGUUGAUCAUGAUAGUGAUUUUCGAGUAGAUGAUCAAGGAUUAUUAAAAUUCGGUGAUAGGCUUUGUAUACCGGCAGAUUCUGGUAUUAAAGAAGAGAUUCUAGCAGAAGCACAUCGGGCGCCAUAUACUGUACACCCUGGAAGUACAAAAAUGUAUAAGGAUUUGAAGUUAACUUACUGGUGGCCUGGAAUGAAAAAAGACGUUGCGGACUUCGUGGCUAAAUGCUUAACUUGUCAGCAGGUUAAAGCUGAACAUCGACUUCCUGCGGGGAAACUUCAGAGCUUACCCUUACCAGUGUGGAAGUGGGAGAGGAUCACUAUGGAUUUCAUCGUUGGAUUACCUCGCUCACAGGCAGGUCACGAUGCCAUUUGGGUAAUUGUAGACAGAUUGACCAAAUCUGCCCACUUUAUUCCAAUCCACACAACUUGGUCAGGAGAGAAAAUCGCACAAUUGUACCUUGAUGAAGUUGUGCGAUUACACGGAGUGCCUGUUUCCAUUGUUUCAGAUCGAGAUAUCCGCUUUGUUUCACAUUUUUGGAGGAGCUUACAUGAGGCUAUGGGUACCCGACUGGACUUUAGUACUGCUUUCCACCCCCAGAGUGAUGGGCAGUCUGAGCGUACUAUCCAGACCCUUGAGGAUAUGUUGCGAGCCUGUAUGAUCGACUAUCAGGGCAGUUGGCCACAAUUCUUGCCUAUGGCUGAAUUUGCUUAUAACAAUAGUUAUCAAGCAAGUAUUCAGAUGGCACCGUUUAAAGUCCUAUAUAGUAGAAAGUGCAGAUCACCACUUCAUUGGAAUGAAGUGGGUGAGAGAUUGGUUUUGGGUCCAGACGUAUUACAAGAGGCUGAAGCUAAAGUUCGACUUGCGCGAGAACGUCUACUGACAGCCCAAAGUCGACAAAAGAGCUAUGCGGAUAAACGUCGGCGAGAACUGGAAUUUCAAGUUGGCGAUCACGUAUUUCUAAAGGUAUCACCGACAAAGGGAGUUAAGAGAUUUGGUAUUCGAGGGAAAUUAAGUCCCCGAUUCAUUGGACCCUACGAGGUGUUGAAGCGGAUAGGCCCCGUUGCGUAUCGGCUUGCUUUGCCGCCGAACCUGUCGGGAGUGCAUAAUGUGUUUCAUGUCUCUACACUGCGAAAGUAUGUUUUUGAUCCAACUCACAUUUUGGAGAGUACUCCAGUGGAUUUACAAGAAGAUUUGAGCUUUGAGGAGCAUCCAGUGAAAAUAUUAGCUCGAGAGGUGAAACGGCUUCGAAAUCGCGAAAUACCUUACGUAAAAAUACUUUGGAGAAAUCAUGAUGAACGGGAAGCUACUUGGGAACUGGAAGAUAUAAUGCAAGAGAAUUAUCCUGAUCUAUUCUCGACGGAAUCUUGAGGUAAGUGUUUACAAGUUUCGCGGACGAAACUUCUUUUUAGGAGGGGUGAAUGUAAUACACUGGACUUCCGCAAAUUGCAGAGUUCGAGUGUGUGGAAUGAAGUGUGGAACUAUUCUACAUGUUCUAAAUGACUUGGAGAAGUUUUGACCAAGUUAGAGAGUGAUUGGAGGGUUAAAAGUGAGAAAUUGCAUCAAACAGGCGAAAUCAGCCUUUUUUUGCUUGCUGUACCGGUACAGCCAUUACCUUGUACCGGUACAGACUGGCAGAAAUCUGGCAGCAAGGCUAACUUGGUCGUUUCACAUUUUGAUCCUAUCUAUUUGAAUCCAGCACGACCUCUGGAGCUCAGUGGAGUAUGCUGGAGCUCAGAGAAAGGUUCUCCCACCUUCCUCACUCUCUCUCUCUAGGGUUUUUCUCUCUCUACGUCGAAUUCGCCGAUUUCGCUCGUUUUCGUCGCAACGUUGAUUCUUCGCUGUUCGCAUGUGUCGCAGGGCCUACAUGGACGUGUGAGGGAGUAUUUUGGAGAGCUUUUCGCAGCUCUGAACCAGUAAGGUGCUGGUUGGAAGCUUGAGAAGGUAUGCAACUCGAUUCUUCCAUUAUCGACGUCCUAUUAGUCGAUUUGAGUAUUGAUUUUGGGUUCUUGCUCCAACGGUUUGAAACUGAGGUUUUCAGCAUGUAAAUAUAAGUUAAUUAGCUGUGAAUGAACCUCCUUAGAUCAGGGAUAAGCUAUUUUAAAGCUUGAUUGAGUAGCCUAGUUCAUUAUGAAGCGAAUUUGGAGUUAAACGUGAGUUUUUGUCGCAACUUGAUACGGUUUGAGCUUUUCUUUUCGCAGCAGGUUUGCGAAUCAUAUUAAGCUAUCUGGGUGACCUGGGAGGCUGGUUUAGAAGGUACUCUGACCUAAGGUAAGCAAGAAUUUCAGUUAGGAAGCUGAAAUUGCAAGAUUCAGACUAAAGUUGCUAAUAUAUGAUGAGUUUGAUGCCGUUUCGAUUUCGUUCGCAGCGAGAGUGCGAUCGAGCCUUGGAUCAUCGUUAGUUAACUUGUGAGAGCUCUUGGAGACUUAUCUUGAGGUAUUACACUAGUCCCAAAACAGGGAUUUAAGGGGUUACUGUGUACUAAGUGUAAUUUAGGCCGAAAUCGGAUAUUCCGGUCGUUAUUUUGACGCGGUGUUGAUGUUUGUGUUCAGCAGGAUUGAGACCGAGUGGAGCUGAUCCUUGGGACUCCUUAGACUGAUUUGGAGCUUCAUAAUAGGUGGGUCGGACCUAACCAGAGCAAGUGGAGCUCCCCUAUGUUCUAUAUGUAUCUAUAGAAUAGCAUAACCGCAUAGGUGCAUUGAGUGCAUAUGUGAUUGAUAGAGAAUUGGGAACAUAUCAUCGUGAUGUGUGACGCUUAAGUAGAAUGAAAUCUCUAUAAAGUAGAGAACAUAUAUACAUGAAAGUAUUUAUAUUCAUAUUCAAUACAGUUAGAGAACAAUGAUAUUCUCUUGACUCUAACGUAGAAAAUUAUGACAUGCUCAUGACUAUGUUGAUAGUGCCAUACUAAUGGAAAGAUUAUAAUGCCAUGUGAUUUAACUUUACCCUUACAUGUUUACAAUCUAGUGGAUACUAGCUCUUGUUACUAUUUGUGUAUUGAAAUUCCGAUCAGAGGAUCGAGGGUAAGAACCUUACAAUGAAAAUAUGAAAAUUGAGACAUGUGGAUAAUGGACUUUGCUUGCUUGCCAUCGUGCUCAUUCGCACACGCUUGUGAGGGUAGCUCCCUACAAGCCGGCACUCCGGAGUUGGCCUACGCGACAGUUGCUCGCCCGUGCGGGAUUGGGUGCCGAAGUGGAUUGCCGUGGGGAGUGUAUACUACCACGGGGCCAUUAGGCGCGGCGCAAGCUGGACUACCUUGAGUAGGUCCUAGUGAAUGAAAAUGAAAGUGAAAAUGAUAAUGAUAGUAAUGAAUGAGUAUCAGUUGUAGUGUACAGUAGUACUUACACUUCUGUGAUUAUGUUUAUGUUCAUGUUUAUAGUAGUUGCGAUACUUCUAUUAUUCAGUUGAUUCAUUACUGCAGAAAUCAUGUUUACAUGUUGAAUACAUGCCUGUUACCGGUUAGCACUGCAUAUUUCUAUAUCAUGCACUUAUCACUUUUACUUACUUUCAGUACAUUAUGAGCCUAGUGGUGUAAUUCGCCGAGGCUGGCGGCUUACCCACUGGGAACUAUUGUUAAUAGUUCUCAUGCCCUUUUUAUGGUUGUUUUUACAGAGCCAUCUGCAGGAGAGGCUAGGGAUCGUGGCAAGGGAGUCGCGUCUAGCUAGACCUUGCUAGAAGCGUGCUAGUCGAUCACCUUGCUACUCUGGCUACGGCCGAGGGUGAUGUCCUUUGUAUAGAGAGACCACCAUUGUACCUAUUUUGUAUUCUCCGUGCUGUAUAUUUACUGUUGAUCCCGAUGUUUUUGUUGUGAUACUUGCUCUUUAGUCGAGAUUUUGGAUUGUACACUCUUUGUUCUUUUACUGACAGUAUAUCGAUUUGUGCAUUGCUCUGAUAUCAGGAUAGGACUCUCUUUGUUUUAUUUCCUAUCGACUGGCUUUCUUCGUAGACGUCUUAUAUACUGCAGGUGUAUGGCGGGUCUGUGCACGUGCCGGAUAUGCUUCCGGUGGUACCCGGGCGUGACAUGAGUCAAUCAUUCGCGGAGUACCGCGCAAAGGCAGGCUCGAGGCGAAGGACGUCUCACUUGCACCUCAGCCUUAAGUCCACUCAACUAGGAUAUUAUUAUAGCUCAUAAGUUUAUUACCCAAUCACUUGGCUAACCCAAAGGUUUCGCACUCAACAAACUCACCAACUCAAAAUCCCAAUAAUCGGGGAGAUGCUCGCUACACCCGAUGGGACCGUCCUCUGGGGAGAUACUCGCUACAACCCAGUGAUGUCGACUCCGGAGCACAUCGCCCCAGGGGAAGCUACCACAACCUCGAGCAAGGACUAAAGGUGAGUAUGAUCAAUGAUCAAAUCCAAAAUCUUGAGGAUGUCAAGUUCAAUCCAUUCCUUAACUUUAGGAAGACUAUGCUCAAAUGACCCUAACUCUAGGGUUGAAAUGUCAUAAUAUUUCCAUCAUUCCUUUCUUUGCAUUCUUUACUAUCACUUGUGUCAUAUACACUGCUAUAUUCUUGGACUCAUGCCAUAUUUGUUUUCUAAGUGUUCAACAUACCAUAAGUGUUUCCACUAUACUAAUCGUAUGCCACUCGAUCUAAUAUAUAUAGAUUGUCCACGUCACAUGUCAUAGUUCAUAUGUCAUUGUUUUUCAAUGUCGAGUUCUCUAAUUCACCUAGAGUUUAUCGAUCCAAGUUCAACAUGCAUGUGUCAUUUAACAUAAUCCACAAUAUGUCAAUAUACAUCCAUCUAGUAUAUUCUACAAUAAAUCAACAUGCACUCAUUCAUCAUAUUCCACAAUAUGUCUACAUAUAUAUGCCAACCAUUCAUAUGCCAUCCAACAUGUUCCAUAAUUUAUCAACAUGCAUAUUACCUCUAACAUAUUACUAUAACAUUAUUUUCAUGCAUUCAUGUAACAAUUAACUCAUGCAUUCAUUUAGCAUUAUUUAACUUGCAUCUUAUCAUUAUGCAUUUCUACUUGGCAUUUACAUUAACAUGCAUCAUUUUCAUACUUCAUUUACAUCUAUAUGCAUCAACAUGGAUUCUUAAUUUGCAUAGACAUAAAGGCGACCUAGUCGCUUCGGUAAGCACAACCCACCUUAACUCGCGUUCCGAUUGCUUGUAGUCACUUGCAAUCGGCCUCCCGCAGCACCCGGCACCCGGUUUGGCCCGAUCUCUCGCGCGACCACCCGAACGGCCUCUAAUCCACGAUCCGAAAAUUAAGGGUCUUCGGUUAUGUGCCACGAUACUUCAAAUCUAUUUCCACGAUUUUACGAUGUCGCCUCGGCCCUCCCGGCGGACCCGAAGCCUAAACGUCCAUUUCUUUAAUAACUUUGUAACGGCUUGUCGGAUUGCCGAACCGUCUUCGCCAACGCGUUCGUUUACCUAGCAAUUUGGUUUACGGAGGGUCAAAUGAGAUCAAACCCAUAUAUUUUACAAAACUCCAUUUGGAGCCCUAACAUACAAUUAACCUCUACAUAGUCCAAAUUAAAUAGAGAGAGCAUGUUUAGAAUACUCAUUAGAGGCUAUUAGAACACUUAGAACUAAGGAUUAAGCCAAAUUCUAAAAGCUUACCUCAAUGUGAACGCCGCGACGAAAACACGCCGCUCCAACGGGCGCACGAAAGCUCAAUCCGUCGCCUCCAACGCGUUCGCAAGCAUCUUCUCCACCAACCCUGCGAAUUUGAGCGAGAGAUAUAGAGAGAUAAGAGAGAAAUCUAGAGAGAGAAAGGGAGCUUUCUCUCUCCCCACCAUGUAUGCGGGUUGGUGGUGGCGUGUAUGGUGGUCGGCUGAAGGAGAAGA